rnacentral:rRNA from 1 species
AUUGAACGCUGGCGGCAUGCGUUACACAUGCAAGUCGAACGGCAGCACGGGAGCAAUCCUGGUGGCGAGUGGCGAACGGGUGAGUAAUACAUCGGAACGCGCCCAAUCGUGGGGGAUAACGCAGCGAAAGCUGUGUUAAUACCGCAUAUGAUCUACGGAUGAAAGCAGGGGACUCAAGACCUUGCGCGAUUGGGCGGCCGAUGGCGAUUAGGUAGUUGGGGAGGUAAAGGCUCACCAAGCCGUGGAUCUGUGGUUGGCUUGGGAGGAGACCCGGCCCCACUGGGACUGAAGACACGGGCCCAAACUCCUUACGGGGGGGGGGGGGGGGGGAUUUUUGGGCAAAGGGGGGAAAGCUUGUUCCCGGCCAUUGCCGCGGGGCGGGAUGAAAGGCCUUUGGGGUUUUAAAAUGGUUUUUUGUACGGGAACAAAAAGGCCCUUUCUUUAUAAAAAAAGGGGUAAUGGCGGGACCCCAAAGAAAAAAGCACCCGGUAAACUACGUGCCAGCGGCCGCGGGGAAAAACGUAGGGGGGGCAACGGUUAAUUCGGAAAUUAUUGGGGCCCAAAGGGGGGGGCGGGGGGUUAUUUAAAAAAAAUUUUUUAAAACCCCCCGGCCCAACCUGGGGAAAAUCCUUUUUUAAUUUCUUAAGUUGGAGACCGGAAAGGGGGGAUUGAAAUUCCCCCGGUUGGAGGGAAAAAUCGAGAUUUUUCGGAGGAAAACCCAUGGGGGAAGGCAACCCCUGGACCCGUCUGAAGCCUAUCCCCAAAAACGGGGGGGGGAAAAAAGAUAUGAAUCCCCUUUUGGGCCCAGGGGGAAAUCCCCCAUUUGGGUGUCGCCCGGGGGGAACCACUAGUUUUUAAGGGGCCCCCCCCCGGGCCCCCCAUAUUCCCCUAAGGGGGGAGGAUACGGCGGCUCCCCAGCCCUCUUUUAACAAGCCGUGCCUGGGAAAACCUUGGGUGUAACCAACUUAACGCUUGAGAAAAUUCUCUUUUUCGCGGUUGUUGUAUAUAGGAUUGUCUGUUUU